AUUGAACGCUGGCGGCACGCCUAACACAUGCAAGUCGAGCGGCAGCGCGAUAUGUAGCAAUACAUAUUGGCGGCGAGCGGCGGACGGGUGAGGAACACGUAGGAACCUACCCUCGAGUGGGGGAUAACCAAGGGAAACUUUGGCUAAUACCGCAUGAUUUCGAGAGAGCAAAGCUGCCGCAAGGUGGCGCUCGAGGAGGGGCCAGCGUCCGAUUAGCUAGUUGGUGAGGUAAGAGCGCACCAAGGCGAUGAUCGGUAACUGGUCUGAGAGGACGACCAGUCACACUGGGACUGAGACACGGCCCAGACUCCUACGGGAGGCAGCAGUGGGGAAUAUUGGACAAUGGGGGCAACCCUGAUCCAGCGAUGCCGCGUGAGUGAAGAAGGCCUUCGGGUCGUAAAGCUCUUUAGGUUGGGAAGAAGAGUGAUGGAGGAAAUGCUAUCACUUUGACGGUACCGACAGAAUAAGCACCGGCAAACUCUGUGCCAGCCGCCGCGGUAACAC
rnacentral:rRNA from 1 species